AAUCUAAGGUGAGGACAUAUUCUGAGCGUGUCCUUCAUUCUCUCCCAAGCUUCAUAAAGUGUCUCUGAGUCCAUCUACAGAAAAUGAUAGAUUUUAUUCUUCAAUUU